CAACCCUCAAGCCCCUCCGGGGACUUGGCGUUGGGAAUCGGCCCCACACACGGAGCCGGCCCCGAAAUUCAGUGGCGGUCUCGCCGCUGCCUCCUCUGCGUAGUAGAAACACCUCGCACUGGGAAGCGGCGCGGCCACGCCGUUCUUGUCCAUUAGACAUCUUUCAA
rnacentral:misc_RNA from 1 species